AUGUGUGUGCCCAAAGAUAACGGAGGGAUGGGCUUCCGUGACAUCCACAAUUUCAACUUGGCUAUGCUCGCAAAGAAAGUUUGGAGGCUGAUUGAAAAUUAUGACUCUAUCUGUGCAAAGGUUUUGAGAUCAAGGUACUAUCCCACGGGUGAUAUUCUAAAUUGCGAGUUGAAAAAGGGCUCAUCUUUCGUAUGGCAAAGUAUAUGGGUGGGAAUUCAAACUUUCAAGAAGGGUAGUAUAUAG
rnacentral:rRNA from 1 species